rnacentral:rRNA from 1 species
AGAGUUUGAUCAUGGCUCAGAACGAACGCUGGCGGCGCGCCUAAUACAUGCAAGUCGAACGAGAAUGUGUAGCAAUACACAUGUAAAGUGGCGAACGGGUGAGGACUACAUGGGUAACCUACCCUCGAGUGGGGGAUAACCAGCCGAAAGGUUGGCUAAUACCGCGUACGCUUCCCGGACUGCGGUUCGGGAAGGAAAGCGAUACCGUGGGUAUCGCGCUCUUGGAUGGGCUCAUGCCCUAUCAGCUUGUUGGUGAGGUAACGGCUCACCAAGGCAUCGACGGGUAGCUGAUCUGAGAGGAUGAUCAGCCACACUGGCACUGCGACACGGGCCAGACUCCUACGGGAGGCAGCAGUAAGGAAUAUUGCGCAAUGGGCGAAAGCCUGACGCAGCGACGCCGCGUGGGGGAUGAAGGUCUUCGGAUUGUAAACCCCUUUCGGGAGGGAAGAUGGGAUGGGGUAACCCAUUCGGACGGUACCUCCAGAAGCAGCCACGGCUAACUUCGUGCCAGCAGCCGCGGUAAUACGAAGGUGGCAAGCGUUGUUCGGAUUUACUGGGCGUACAGGGAGCGUAGGCGGUUAGGUAAGCCCUCCGUGAAAUCUCCAGGCUUAACCUGGAAAGUGCAGAGGGGACUGCUUGGCUAGAGGAUGGGAGAGGAGCGCGGAAUUCCCGGUGUAGCGGUGAAAUGCGUAGAGAUCGGGAGGAAGGCCGGUGGCGAAGGCGGCGCUCUGGAACAUUUCUGACGCUGAGGCUCGAAAGCGUGGGGAGCAAACAGGAUUAGAUACCCUGGUAGUCCACGC